rnacentral:misc_RNA from 1 species
AACUUUCGGCAAUGGAUCUCUUGGCUCUCGCAUCGAUGAAGAACGCAGCGAAUUGCGAUAAGUAAUGUGAAUUGCAGAAUUCAGUGAACCAUCGAAUCUUUGAACGCACCUUGCACUCUUUGGUAUUCCGAAGAGUAUGCCUGUUUGAGUGUUAUGAAAUCUCUCAACCUAUCAUUUUUCAUUAGAACUUUGAUUAGGAUUGGAUUCUGAACGUUGCUGACUAGUUUACUAGUGGAGCUCGUUUGAAAUAGAAUAGCAAAUGUCUGAUCUUUAAUCGGUUUGACUUGGCGUAAUAAGUAACAUUUCGCUAAGGAUUAUCCUUUGGGUAACCGAAUUUUGUAUUAAUGACUUGCUUCUAAAUCUUAAUUUUUCUAAUUUGACCUCAAAUCAGGUAGGACUACCCGCUGAACUUAAGCAUAUCAAUAAGCGGAGGCU